GGGUUUAACGACAAUGGGGGAAACCCGUACGAGUAGUCAGCGACGCCGCGUGGAGGGAAGAAGGUUUUACGGAGUUGUAAACUACCCUGUCGUUAAGGGGACGGAGUAAAUUGACGGUAACCGUUACUAAGAAAGACCACGGGCUAACUACGUGCCAGCAGCCGCGGUAAACGUAAGUGGCAAGCGUGUCGGAUACUGGUGUAAGGGAGCGCAGGCGGACCGGCAAGUUGGAAGUGAAAUCUAUGGGCGUCAACCCACUAAAUUAGCUUUCUAAAACUAGCUGGCCUUGAGUAGUGCAGAGGUAGGCGGGAAUUCCCGGUGUAGCGGUGGAAGUGCGUAGAUAUCGGAAGGAACACCAGUGGCGAAGGCGGGCCUACCUGGGCGACCAACUGACGCUGAGGGCUCGAAAGACAUGGGUAGGCAAACAAGGAGUUAGAUACCCUGGUAGUCCAUGCCGUAACGAAUGAUUACUUAGGUGUUGGAGGAGUUGUACCCCUUCCUAGUGCCGCAGUUAACACAAUAAGUAAUACCACCUCGGGGGAGUACGACCGCAAGGUUUGAAACUCAAAGGAAUUGACGGGGGGCCCGCACAAGCGUCGACGCGGCCG
rnacentral:rRNA from 1 species